rnacentral:rRNA from 1 species
UAGGGAAUCUUCCACAAUGGGCGCAAGUCUGAUGGAGCAACGCCGCGUGAGUGAAGAAGGUCUUCGGAUCGUAAAGCUCUGUUGUAAGAGAAGAACGUGUGUGAGAGUGGAAAAUUCACACAGUGACGGUAACUUACCAGAAAGGGACGGCUAACUACGUGCCAG